rnacentral:rRNA from 1 species
UGGGGAAUAUUGGACAAUGGGCGAAAGCCUGAUCCAGCCAUGCCGCGUGUGUGAAGAAGGCCUUUUGGUUGUAAAGCACUUUAAGCGAGGAGGAGGCUACUUGGAUUAAUACUAUAGGAUAGUGGACGUUACUCGCAGAAUAAGCACCGGCUAACUCUGUGCCAGCAGCCGCGGUAAUACAGAGGGUGCGAGCGUUAAUCGGAUUUACUGGGCGUAAAGCGUGCGUAGGCGGCUCUUUAAGUCGGAUGUGAAAUCCCUGAGCUUAACUUAGGAAUUGCAUUCGAUACUGGGAAGCUAGAGUAUGGGAGAGGAUGGUAGAAUGCCAGGUGUAGCGGUGAAAUGCGUAGAGAUCUGGAGGAAUACCGAUGGCGAAGGCAGCCAUCUGGCCUAAUACUGACGCUGAGGUACGAAAGCAUGGGGAGCAAACAGG